rnacentral:rRNA from 1 species
GACGAACGCUGGCGGCGUGCCUAAUACAUGCAAGUAGAACGCUGAAGAGAGGAGCUUCCUCUUCUUGGAUGAGUUGCGAACGGGUGAGUAACGCGUAGGUAACCUGCCUUGUAGCGGGGGAUAACUAUUGGAAACGAUAGCUAAUACCGCAUAACAAUGGAUGACACAUGUCAUUUAUUUGAAAGGGGCAAUUGCUCCACUACAAGAUGGACCUGCGUUGUAUUAGCUAGUAGGUGAGGUAAUGGCUCACCUAGGCGACGAUACAUAGCCGACCUGAGAGGGGGAUGGGCCACACGGGGACUGAGACACGGCCCGGACUCAUACGGGAGGCAGAAGUGGGGAGUGUUGGGCAAUGGGGGAAACACGGACAGGGAAAGGCCGCGGGAGUGAAGAGGUUUGUCGGAGCGAAAAGCUCGGUUGUAAGUCAAGAACGGGUGUGGGAGUGGAAAGUUCACACUGGGAGGGUGGCUAACAAGAAGGGGAGGCCAAAUUACUGC